rnacentral:rRNA from 1 species
GUUCGUUGGGUAGGGGAGCGUUCUGUAAGCCUGUGAAGGUGUGUCGUGAGGCAUGCUGGAGGUAUCAGAAGUGCGAAUGCUGACAUAAGUAACGAUAAAGCGGGUGAAAAGCCCGCUCGCCGGAAGACCAAGGGUUCCUGUCCAACGUUAAUCGGGGCAGGGUGAGUCGACCCCUAAGGCGAGGCCGAAAGGCGUAGUCGAUGGGAAACGGGUUAAUAUUCCCGUACUUGGUGUUACUGCGAAGGGGGGACGGAGAAGGCUAUGUUGGCCGGGCGACGGUUGUCCCGGUUUAAGCGUGUAGGUGUGUGUUCCAGGUAAAUCCGGUUCACUUUAACACUGAGGCGUGACGACGAGGCACUACGGUGCUGAAGCAACAAAUGCCCUGCUUCCAGGAAAAGCCUCUAAGCAUCAGGUAACAUCAAAUCGUACCCCAAACCGACACAGGUGGUCAGGUAGAGAAUACCAAGGCGCUUGAGAGAACUCGGGUGAAGGAACUAGGCAAAAUGGUGCCGUAACUUCGGGAGAAGGCACGCUGACACGUAGGUGAAGUGAUUUACUCAUGGAGCUGAAGUCAGUCGAAGAUACCAGCUGGCUGCAACUGUUUAUUAAAAACACAGCACUGUGCAAACACGAAAGUGGACGUAUACGGUGUGACGCCUGCCCGGUGCCGGAAGGUUAAUUGAUGGGGUCAGCGCAAGCGAAGCUCCUGAUCGAAGCCCCGGUAAACGGCGGCCGUAACUAUAACGGUCCUAAGGUAGCGAAAUUCCUUGUCGGGUAAGUUCCGACCUGCACGAAUGGCGUAAUGAUGGCCAGGCUGUCUCCACCCGAGACUCAGUGAAAUUGAACUCGCUGUGAAGAUGCAGUGUACCCGCGGCAAGACGGAAAGACCCCGUGAACCUUUACUAUAGCUUGACACUGAACAUUGAGCCUUGAUGUGUAGGAUAGGUGGGAGGCUUUGAAGUGUGGACGCCAGUCUGCAUGGAGCCGACCUUGAAAUACCACCCUUUAAUGUUUGAUGUUCUAACGUGGACCCGUGAUCCGGGUUGCGGACAGUGUCUGGUGGGUAGUUUGACUGGGGCGGUCUCCUCCUAAAGAGUAACGGAGGAGCACGAAGGUUGGCUAAUCCUGGUCGGACAUCAGGAGGUUAGUGCAAUGGCAUAAGCCAGCUUGACUGCGAGCGUGACGGCGCGAGCAGGUGCGAAAGCAGGUCAUAGUGAUCCGGUGGUUCUGAAUGGAAGGGCCAUCGCUCAACGGAUAAAAGGUACUCCGGGGAUAACAGGCUGAUACCGCCCAAGAGUUCAUAUCGACGGCGGUGUUUGGCACCUCGAUGUCGGCUCAUCACAUCCUGGGGCUGAAGUAGGUCCCAAGGGUAUGGCUGUUCGCCAUUUAAAGUGGUACGCGAGCUGGGUUUAGAACGUCGUGAGACAGUUCGGUCCCUAUCUGCCGUGGGCGCUGGAGAACUGAGGGGGGCUGCUCCUAGUACGAGAGGACCGGAGUGGACGCAUCACUGGUGUUCGGGUUGUCAUGCCAAUGGCACUGCCCGGUAGCUAAAUGCGGAAGAGAUAAGUGCUGAAAGCAUCUAAGCACGAAACUUGCCCCGAGAUGAGUUCUCCCUGAGACUUAGAGUCUCCUGAAGGAACGUUGAAGACGACGACGUUGAUAGGCCGGGUGUGUAAGCGCAGCGAUGCGUUGAGCUAACCGGUACUAAUGAACCGUGAGGCUUAACCUU